UACGUAGGGGGCAAGCGUUGUCCGGAAUCAUUGGGCGUAAAGAGCGCGUAGGCGGCCCUGUAAGUCCGCUGUGAAAGUCAAGGGCUCAACCCUUGGAUGCCGGUGGAUACUGCAGGGCUAGAGUCCGGAAGAGGCGAGUGGAAUUCCUGGUGUAGCGGUGAAAUGCGCAGAUAUCAGGAGGAACACCGGUGGCGAAGGCGGUUCUCUGGGCCUUACCUGACGCUGAGGAGCGAAAGCGUGGGGAGCGAACGGG
rnacentral:rRNA from 1 species